rnacentral:RNase_P_RNA from 1 species
ACAGGUGGUUGCGAGGCGAUUAGCCUUGAGGAAAGUCCGAGCAUCACAGAACAGGGUGCCAGCUAACGGCUGGUGGAGGCGACUCCAAGGAUAGUGCAACAGAAAUAUACCGCCAUUUAAUAAAUGGUAAGGGUGGAAAAGUGCGGUAAGAGCGCACUAGGUGAUAUGGUAACAUAACAUCUCUGUAAACCCCACUCGAUGCAAGAUAGAAGAACGUUAUAACGCUGUUCGCUAGUUCUUCGUUACAUCGCUUGAGAUUAUUGGUGACAAUAAUACUAGAUAGAUAGCCACCUAAUACAGAACUCGGCUUAUGUU